GUUUGGCUUGAAGAACAUUUGAUCUCUUACAUUAACAGCCCAUGUCACUGUAAUAGCGAGUACAGUCAGGCUGUUCAGUUUUCUAUUAUUUUAGCUUUGAAAUAACCGUUAGUGCUGCUCCAAACUCCCUGUGUAUAAAACUGUACACUGGCUGUCCCCCAGGACUCGUGAGUAAACAAGAUCUCGCCCUCCUGAUGCCUGGGCUUGCGCAGCUGCUUCUUGAAAGGAACUCUGUUGAUGACAAGAGGCCCAGUCACAAGCAGCAAGCCACUGUCCAGCUGCUUCAGGAAAACCACUCUCUUGCCCCUGUGGCGCCCAGCGAGGAUGAUCAGGAGAGUCCGGGGAGUGAUGCUGGAGCGGAGCCUUCUCACGUGCUGGCUGAAGGGCUUCUUGCCAUGGCUCAGCAGCUUCCGAGGUUAGGCCUCUGUAUUGUUUUUCUCCUCACUUUGACAGAAUAACUGGCAGAAGGAAGCAGCUGAGUUGAGGAGGCCUUUAUUUUGGAUCACAGUUUAGAGUCCAUCAUGUCCAGGAAGCAAGGGAGCCUGAGGACACUUAGUCUCUGGCAUCAGGAACAUGUGGUGGAUGGUCACAUUGUGAAGAGAGGCGGGAAACAGAGAUCUUAGAAUUCCUCAGAGAGAGAAGACUGUAAUAAUGGCGAACCCCCUAGGAAGAUAAUACCAGAGAAGAAUUCACUUAGACAGGUAUGAAAUUCAGUCUUACUUAAAAUAAAAAGCUUCUAAAAAACAAAACAAAAGACAGGAAACCCUUGACUGUCAUUCUUAAAAAUUGGAGUUUAAAUAAAGAGCCCUGUGUUCUGAAGUUGGUCUGGCCCUGGCCAUCAAUUUCAGUCAGGUAACAUUAUUUAAUAGUCAGAAUAUAUAUUAAAUAAUUAAUUUGAAGUAAAGAGGUCUUGUUCAGGCAAGAUGACCUUAAGUGCUUCAUAGAAUGGACAUGGAAUAGUUAACACUAAUAUUUAUUUCCUAGUAAGGAUUAUUUAUACAUUUUAUUUUUAAUAAGAAAAUUCUGAGACAGGGUUUCAUUAAGUAGUCCAGGCUAGAAGACUUGAAUCCUAGCCUCCUCCUCUGCAUCCUGAGUGCUGGAGUUAUGCACCUGUACCUCGUUCCUGGCUAAGGUUUGUCAGCCAUUUAAAUAACAACAACAGAACUGGAACAAAGCUGCUUUCCGUUGUUUGAGUUUGUCUGAUUUCUUUAGUUCCCCAAUCCCAGGUGAAGUCUACCAUCGAUGGUGACUUUGAGCCGUCUUUGUGGGACUGGAGAACUGGUUCAGUGCUAACGUGCUUGCCCUGGAAGCCCGAGGACCCGCAGUGUGGCAGGCCACUUCUAAACCAGCAUUGGGAAGGGAUUACAGGGGUCCCAGGAGAGGGCCUCCACAUGUGUGCAUACACGUGGGUGACCUUGCUCACAUGUUUGCACAGUACAGACAUAGGGGAGAGAAAAAUACAUAUAAAGCCCUUUUCCUGAGGACUCUGUGUCCUGCUCCCCAGAGGUAACUUGUAAACUUGUGAAAGUUCAGGCCCCUUUUUUUUAAUUAUUAUUUUUCAUUAAAAUAUCCAAAAUAGUGAAUGAAAAAAUGUCCUCACUACCUGUAAAAUCCUGUAAUACCUUCACUGUGUUUUAGACAGUGAAGGUACAGAACAAGUCACUAAAUUGCUUAUUGAUUAAAUUAUUAUAGGUAGAAAAUAACUGUUACCUAAUCAUUUUUAGUAUAAGAUUGUAUUAAAUGGGUAGCAGUACAGAUAGUUUUAGUUGGUUGUGUCUAUGGCCUUCGUUCUAGGACUUAGAGCAGAGAUGUGGUUUGUGUUGGCUACCCACAAUGCAUUUAUUUAUUUCAUUUAAUGCUGCGAUAACUCUGCCAAGCUGGUAGAGGUGAUGAUACAGUUUCCAGUUUACUGAUGAAGCAAGUGGAGGCUUGAAGAGCUUAGACUUAACCAGAGCUGCUCAUUGAUUUGGAACUCUGACCUUGCUAUUUCCAAAGAACUUCUACUUCAGCCUUAGGGUCUGGUUUUCAUAGCUUUAUCCUAAAGAGAAAGUACAUGAAAACAUGCCACAAUUAUUUAUUUAUUUAUUAUAUGUUAACUCCUUUUCAGAUAGGCAGUUUCCUAAUUUUUUUUUAUAAAAAUAAUUGUUUUAAAUAGAAUUGAGUCAAUACAGGAAGCUUUCAAAACAAACAAAUUGAUGUCAAGACGAUUCGUUUUAAUUAUUUGGAGAUAGACACCAGAUCUGUAUGCGAAAUCAAUAGAGCGAUAUUGCAUAAGUAAACUUGGAGAUGGAAGCGCUAUGUCCACUGCACAGAGGCGACUGUCAGAAAGCAAUGACACAACAAAAAGUUUUGGCAACUUUAUUUAAGCUAACAAACGAAUUUUCACUCUGCAAAGUUAUAAAUUAAUUUUAAUAGGCUGAUCCAGAUGGUCCAUUUGGAAAAUGGAUAGGCUGAUCUGUUGAAAAUUAAACUAAAUUUAUCUCUCUCAUACUUCAAACUGAAGCAAGAGAGAAAACCGUGCCUAUUAAGUCCAGCACAUACAGAUGGACCAGCAGGUCACACAUGGGACUAAUCUGAUUCAUUUUAAAAAUAAAUGCAUACAUUAUUGAAUCAUUUUCUACUUGGAAGAAGAUCUGUUGUGUACAGUACUUAAAAGAAAUUUGAUGUUUUCUCCUCGUUGCUGUUUUAACAGGUUCGCUUCUCCCUUUCCUCUUUAAUUUACACCCCCCCCCCCUCAAUUCCUCCAGAAUGAUGUUUCUAAUAUCUGUCAUUGAGUGUUGAGAUCCAAGCUCUGGAGAUUAAUUAGGUCAUGAGGCUCCCCCCUCCCUUCUUUGUAAAGGGUUUUAUCUCCAUUCUCUUUGUGAAGAGCAUGAACUCAGUGUUCUUGGAGCCUUUAGAAUUGGGGAAGUAGGCGAUCCUCCUGGGGCCCUCAGAGCCUUUUAGCUUCUGGGUGUUUUAACAGCCCCAUGAAUGCAGAUUUGUAAAUUUAUUGCAGCGCCAUCUGGUUUUUUGCUCGAACCAGAUUACUGUUGGCUUGUGUCUGUCUAUUGUGGUGGUCACUCCCUGGGAGCUUGCCCUCUCCAUCUUGGGAAAGAGUGAUGAAUAGCAGGGGUCAAUGGAAGCGGGUCACAGGGCAGCUGUCCGCAACCGCCCUGAACUUGAUUACCCCGCUGCUGAUUUUUUUUAAGGUAGUACAUAAUACACAAGCUGUUUAAACUCCUCUUUUUCUCUGUUGCAUCUGACAAUAAGGAAACAACGUUUGCUAUUUUGUUUGUCUAGUGUCGAGAUCUAUAGACAAAAGGAUGUCAAGGCCAGCCUAAAGUGACUGUGGCUUCAUGGGGUCAAUCUCUGAAGUUGAAAUUCACCUGCACAUAUUUCUGAUAAGCUUUCAGGAAUCUCUUACCCUUAAAUAUAAAAAAUUCACUUGAAUUCUAACAACCUAUUAUUGUUACAACUAGACUGUAGUUUAUAUAGAUUAUUCUCAGGCAAAGGAUUGCCAUUGUUGUUGGGACAUGGCUACUAAAUGGGUAAUUUGAAAAGCCAUUUUAAUAUUGGAGGAGCUGAAAGAAGGGUUAUUGCUAUAAUUCUUAGAGACAUUAGAAGAAUAAUGGAAUAUCAAUAUAAAUAUAAAUAACUUUAUGCCAAAAAUUGGCUAGAUAAAAUGGGCAGAUUCUUUGAAAAACAACUCACAGAACAAACACAAGGUAAAAAUUAUAUCUGUUAAAUAUAAUGUUUUUCUUAUCACAAUGCUCAUAUAGUUUAACUGGUGACUUAACAGAUAUAAUGGCAAUCUUUUACUUUAAACCCCCUCUUAAAACACAAAAGAAAAGAAGACUUUGCCAUAAAAGCGCUUCCAAAACUUAAUGGAGAAAUUACCAAAAGUAGUUAGUGAAGGAGAAGGCUAGAAAUAUAACUCCUUUUGUCAUCAUUUGGCACUAGGUGUGAACUUUAAAAAAAUACUAUAUACACACAGUUUCCUUUCUACUUAUAUUCUCCUAAAGUGUGGAAACCGCAGUCUCUCUUUUAUAGUUUUUAUACCAUGAGUGAUGGAGGCAAAGGACUUGCGAGGCCUCUUUGCUGUUUGAAAAUGUAGCAUUGCCACAUGCAACUCUUCUUUGCUCACAUUAGCGCUAAUAGGCUCUGUCAGCUCCCCCUUUCUCUGUAAUUGAGUAAAUUGUGGCUUUUGCCUAAUUCUUCUCCUGCCCUCCACCCCCUUUGUGUAUGUGUGUGCACUCACCAUCCUGAGAGCGUGGGCAGUGAUAAAUAAAGCAUUGAGUGGAGCGCUCUCAACUCUUUGAAAGCAGCAUGCUGCCAGCCCUCUAGUUAUAUUUCUUUGCGUGUUUACAUUUUCCUGUAUUCUUUCUCUUGUGUAGCUGGAACCCUGGGGAUGCAAAGCCAUGAGAGAGGCCAGGAAGCUAACAAAGUAGCUGUCUCCUUGUUAGCUUGUUCCUUUAUUCUCUAAAAACAAGAUAAAAACCAUCUGGCUCAGGGCGUUACAUUUUCCUCCCCUGUGCACCUCUAUAGAUGGAGACUUCACCUGCAGUGAGGGUUUACAUUGAUUAGGGAGGGAGCAGUAAUUCAGGCCUCAGUCCUCUUCAAGGAUACCGUGCAGUCUGUAGAGGUGCUGACCCACGGAGUUAAACUGUCAGGGGAGGAUAAAAAGUGUCUUCCUCCCAGGAGGUAACAGCUGCCAGGUCUUCAACACCUUGCAUGCUGCUGG
rnacentral:lncRNA from 1 species